rnacentral:rRNA from 1 species
UAAAGAGCUUGCUCUUAUGAAGUUAGCGGCGGACGGGUGAGUAACACGUGGGUAACCUGCCCAUAAGACUGGGAUAACUCCGGGAAACCGGGGCUAAUACCGGAUAACAUUUUGCACUGCAUGGUGCGAAAUUGAAAGGCGGCUUCGGCUGUCACUUAUGGAUGGACCCGCGUCGCAUUAGCUAGUUGGUGAGGUAACGGCUCACCAAGGCAACGAUGCGUAGCCGACCUGAGAGGGUGAUCGGCCACACUGGGACUGAGACACGGCCCAGACUCCUACGGGAGGCAGCAGUAGGGAAUCUUCCGCAAUGGACGAAAGUCUGACGGAGCAACGCCGCGUGAGUGAUGAAGGCUUUCGGGUCGUAAAACUCUGUUGUUAGGGAAGAACAAGUGCUAGUUGAAUAAGCUGGCACCUUGACGGUACCUAACCAGAAAGCCACGGCUAACUACGUGCCAGCACCCGCGGUAAUACGUAGGUGGCAAGCGUUAUCCGGAAUUAUUGGGCGUAAAGCGCGCGCAGGUGGUUUCUUAAGUCUGAUGUGAAAGCCCACGGCUCAACCGUGGAGGGUCAUUGGAAACUGGGAGACUUGAGUGCAGAAGAGGAAAGUGGAAUGUCCAUGUGUA